AACGAACGCUGGCGGCAGGCUUAACACAUGCAAGUCGAGCGCCUCGCAAGAGGAGCGGCCGACGGGUGAGUAACGCGUGGGAACGUACCCUUAUCUUCGGAAUAGCUCUGGGAAACUGGAAGUAAUACCGAAUGUGCCCUUAGGGGGAAAGAUUUAUCGGAUAAGGAUCGGCCCGCGUUGGAUUAGCUAGUUGGUGGGGUAAAGGCCUACCAAGGCUACGAUCCAUAGCUGGUCUGAGAGGACGAUCAGCCACAUUGGGACUGAGACACGGCCCAAACUCCUACGGGAGGCAGCAGUGGGGAAUAUUGGACAAUGGGCGCAAGCCUGAUCCAGCCAUGCCGCGUGAGUGAUGAAGGCCUUAGGGUUGUAAAGCUCUUUCACCGGAGAAGAUAAUGACGGUAUCCGGAGAAGAAGCCCCGGCUAACUUCGUG
rnacentral:rRNA from 1 species